ensembl:lncRNA
ACGAUUCUAUUCAGUAUGAGACGAUUCUCUUCCGUUAUGGACUUUCUAUUCAGUUAGAGACGGACUCUCUUCAGUUAUGAGACGACUCUCUUCAGUUAUGAGACGACUCUCUUCAGUUAUGAGAUGAUUCUCUUCAGUUAUGAGAUGAUUCUCUUCAGUUAUGAGACUAUUCUAUUCAGUUAUGAGAAGACUCUCUCAUUAGUUAUUGAGACGAUUCUCUUCAGUUAUGAGACGAUUCUCUUCAUUAUGAGACGAUUCUUCAGUUAUGAGACGAUUCUAUUCAGUUAGAGUGAUUCUUUUAGUUAUGAGAUGAUUCUAUUCAGUUAUGAGUGAUUCUCUUCAGGCUCUUUUGUAGCAGCGCUGCAUGUUCUAAAGCCAAGGAUUGAAGACACCACUCCACUCUUCAUCCCUCCCCCUCCUCAACUCUCCCCCCACUCUCCCUUGUAGUGUCCUGGGGGUGAGUAUGACCUCUCCCUCCUCCUCUAUAGCCUCCCUCUUCUGUUAUCAGGCUAGUAAUAGUAGUAGUUGUGGUCAGUUACUGCAUGCGGUCUGCUGAAGCUGCUGAGGCUGGUACUGGGCGAAGGUGCAGCUGCUGCGGCUGCUCCCGGGGUGGCUGCGGCUGCUAGAGGUGCGGACGCCAUAACCUACCCUGCUGCAGCCAUGUAGCCCGCAGGGGCCGGGGAGGCUGCGUACGGGUAAUGCUCGUAGGAGAGGCGGCGCGGCGCUGGCGUGCGGCGCUGGGAGUACUGGGCUAGGCCGCUCCGGUGUAGUCGAGUACGGGGAGGAGGCGGCGGAGGCCGUGGCGCGGG